GUACUAGGUUUUCCGUUUUUUGGCAGGUGAAAACUCUGGUACGUUUGUAGAAGAAUUUUCAGAAAAGUUUAUGUACCUAGGUGACGAACAGUAACUUCUGCAAAUUAUGUGUCAUUAAGAGAGAAAUCUCAAAAAAUCGCUAUCCGGGACUUUCGGGUUUCGGCCGUACUACAUUUAACACUCAGCAUACCACCCACCCGUGGAAAAACCCGAAUGCGUAACAUUUACAUGACAACGACAGGGGUGGUUCAAACUAAAAUACCUUAAGUUUCUUGACGAUCAGAACUUUAUGAAGAACGCAGGGAACUGACUGUUUAUGGCAAAAGGAUAUGCAGUUAUCAAUGAACACACAAUCAGAUUAGUGCCUGACUUGGUAGAAGGUGAUGGCUAGUGUAUAUGCAUCGACGCUAGAGACAACAAAUGCAAACAGAGCGUGUCGAGGCAUACUCGGUUCCUGUACGGAUGGUCUACGUGACUUACUGCGUCACCACGUCCCACUACACACAUUCUCUAAUGUCAUAAAACAAAACAAACUCAAUAUUCCACAUCUGACGGCUGUUCAGCGUGACCUAAUUUUACCAAAGCAUGGAGGUUAUUCCGGAACAUAUGAUGAUAUAGACAUCUCAUUAUUGUAUAUCUUAUUGAGAAACAUAGCCAAGAUAUCUCCUCACUCCAAGGGCUGGGGCAAAGAUCCCAACCCCCAUGACAGGAGUCUCUCGGCCAACAUAGAGAGGAUUCGAUUGGUCCGGAAUCGUUGUGUUCACUCAUGUGAUCCAUCCAUGUCCAUCACAGACUUUAACUCCAUCUGGUCCACCAUUAAAUCGACAAUGGUGGAUCUUGAUGCCUUCCUCAUGAAUGGAAACAAAUAUGAAAAGGCGGUGGAUUUCCUAUGUCACGAGUCGAUGGACCCGCAAAACGACCUACAUUACGAAGAAGAACUGAGGAAGCAGGUAGAGGAAGAUAAGACAACCAGGGAAAUGGUGGACAACCUUGAGAAUAAACUGGAGAAACUGAUAAAGUCAUCCAUUCCCCAAAAUGUGAGAGAGCAAUAUGAUAUUGACGUUGAGAAAUGGAGAGAGGAAGACAAGCUUUACUAUGAAACCCACAGCUUUCCAUCAAUGGUGGAGAAAGUGAGGAACCAACCUUGCGUGACGUUUGUUGGUGUGCCUGGGUCCGGGAAGUCUGCAACGACUCACCACAUCGCCCUCAAGCUCCAGGAGGAAGGUUACGAAGUUGUACCAGUUGAUGAAAUCAGAGAGAUAAAGCAAUACUGUGACACAAAGAAUCCACAGGUUUUUGUUAUUGAUGAUGUGGUGGGUGUCUUUGGCCUCCAGAAAAGUAAAUUAGAUGUGUUGACUGAUUAUGAAGAGAAAAUAACACAGCCUUGCAUGGCUAAGUCUAGAACUUUGAUGACAUGUAGAGAGGCUGUGUUCAAUGAGACACUACCUUACAAACCAUUCCUUACAAAAGAAGAGACUGUGAUUAAGUUACACAGUUCUGAUCAUGCAUUAGACAAUCAUGACAUAAAACAGCUUCUCCAGAAGUAUGGUUUGAAUGUUAGUCUAAUAUCACCUGCAUUGCUGACAUCAACAUCUCGCAUGUUUCCUCUUCUCUGUAAAUUGUUUUCAAAGGAACCAAAAUUCCAAGCUCUUAGUUCAAAGUUUUUCCUGAAUCCAGUCCAAUGUAUCAUUGAUGAACUUGAUAAUAUGCAAAGGCAUAACAAACUGAAUUAUGUAACACUUGUUUUGUGUAUGCUAAAUGAAAACAGUCUCUCCAAAGAUAAUCUUGAACAUAAAAAGUUUAUUGAUAAGAAAAAGAAAACUUUGGAAAACUGCAGAUUAGAGCUUAACACUGAUACUUUCAAGUUUAUGGAUGCUUUGUCAGCAAUGAAAGGGACCUACACAAAACAGUGUGGUGCACAAUACAUAUUUAUACAUGACUCCAUGUUUGAAAUAUGUGCUUAUCAAUAUGGUAAACAGUUUCCUGACCAAAUGUUGCAGUAUAUGAGUAGUAGUUAUAUUGCUAAUAAUGUCAAAACACAGACAAGUGAACCAGGAAAUGUUAACAAAGUGAAAGAGAAACAGGGUGAUUCUCAACCUAUUGAGGGGCAUGAGAGUAGUGAAGGUAAAGAGAAGGAAAGCGAUGAUAAAAACAGUGAGGGAGAGGAAUCGUCUGAUCUGUGCAUAAGGUUAUGUGAGGAUCAGUACCCACUGUUAGCAGAGAGAUUGUACAGAGACAUACAGAACAUGGAGCUGUAUGAUGUUUUCAGGAAUCAGGUUUUAAAACAUCCCCAGGUGUGUCAGGCUUUUAUUGGUGUGUUAGAGACAAAGUCAUACGCAGAAUUAAAAGACUUGUUUCUGUCCAGCCAGGGAGAGGUAGAUAAGAUAGCGAGUAAACGAGAGCGUGUGGAAGAUGAGGGUGAGAGGAGUGAGUGGCAGAGACAGGAGGUGCUGAUAGGAAGGAAUAAACGAAAGGGAGAAACAAAUAGAGAAUACAAUGUGAGAGUGGUCAGCUGGGUGAUUUACUAUGGACAUCAUCAGAUAUUAGAGUACAUAGUACAACAGACUGAACAACACGAUGAAGUAAGUGAAUUAUUUGGGAUAACAGAAAAUUAUCCACAUGAAUCUAGAUGUGAGAUGGAGAGAUCUGGAAUAGAUACAUGUAAUAAUCAGAACAAUAGGCCUGUAAAACAAUCUACAUCUGGGAUAUAUACAUGUAAUGCAAAGGGAAAUGAAAUCAAUAGGCUUGUAGAACAAUGUAGAUUACUCUUAUUGAGUUGUUAUAGUGGUGAUGUACAGACAGUCAGAGUUCUGCUUCCUCUCUGUAAAAAAGCAAUCAAUGGGAUAGGUGGGAUCUGUAGAGGUAUUUAUUGGAAUCGUGAUACACCUCUUACUACUGCAUGUUAUAGAGGACAUGUGAGUAUAGUGAAGGAGCUGGUGAAGGAAGGGGCUGGUGUCAAUCUACAGGAUAUCAAGGGGAAUACAGGACUGAUAUCUGCAUGUAAGGGAGGACAUGUGAGUAUAGUGGAGGAGCUGGUGAAGGCAGGGGCUGAUGUCAAUCUACUAGGUAAGUACAGCAAUACACCACUGAUAGCUGCAUGUAAAGAAGGACAUGUGAGUAUAGUGGAGGAGCUGGUGAAGGCGGGGGCUGAUAUCAAUAUACAGGGUCAUUGCAGGAAUACACCACUGAUAGCUGCAUGUGAUGGAGGACAUGUGAGUAUAGUGGAGGAGCUGGUGAAGUCAGGGGCUAAUGUCAAUCUACAGGAUACAUGGAGGAAUACACCACUGAUAGUUGCAUGUGAGGGAGGACAUGUAAGUAUAGUGGAGGAGCUGGUGAAGGCAGGGGCUAAUGUCAAUCUACAGGAUGAUGACGGGAAUACACCACUGAUAGCUGCAUGUAAUGGAGGUCAUGCGAGUAUAGUGGAGGAGCUGGUGAAGGCGGGGGCUGAUAUCAAUCUACAGGAUAGGGGAGGGAAUACACCACUGGAAGCUUCAUGUAAGGGAGGACAUGUAAGUAUAGUGGAGGAGCUGGUGAAGGCGGGAGCUGAUGUCAAUCUACAGGAUAGGGGAGGGAAUACACCAUUAAUAGCUGCAUGUAACGAAGGACAUUUGAGUAUAGUGGAAGAGCUGGUGAAGGCGGGGGCUGAUAUCAAUCUACAGGAUAUUAAGGGGAAUACACCACUGAUAUCUGCAUGUGAGAGAGGACAUGUAACUAUAGUGGAGGAGCUGGUGAAGGCAGGGGUUGAUGUCAAUCUACAAGAUAACAGUAUACAGGGGAAGACAGCACUGAUAUCUGCAUGUGAGGGAGGACAUGUAAGUAUAGUGGAGGAGCUGGUGAAGACGGGGGCUGAUGUCAAUCUACAGGAUAGGGGAGGGAAUACACCACUGAUAGCUGCAUGUAACGAAGGACAUGUGCGUAUAGUGGAGGAGCUGGUGAAGGCGGGGGCUGAUGUCAAUCUACAGGAUGAUAUCGGGAUUACACCACUGAUAGCUGCAUGUAAGAGUGGACAUGUGCGUAUAGUGGAGGAGCUGGUGAAGGCGGGGGCUGAUGUCAAUCUACAGGAUGAUAUCGGGAUUACACCACUGAUAGCUGCAUGUAAGAGUGGACAUGUGAGUUUAGUGGAGGAGCUGGUGAAGGCUGGGGCUGAUGUCAAUCUACAGGAUAGGGGAGGGAAUACACCACUGAUAGCUGCAUGUAACGAAGGACAUGUGAGUAUAGUCGAGGAGCUAGUGAAGGCGGGGGCUGAUGUCAAUAUACAGGAUAGGGGAGGGAAUACACCACUGCUAGUUGCAUGUGAAGGAGGACAUGUAAGUACAGUGGAGGAGCUGGUGAAGGCGGGGGCUGAUGUCAAUAUACAGGAUAUUAAGGGGAAUACAGCACUGAUAUCUGCAUGUGAGGGAGGACAUGUAAGUAUAGUGGAGGAGCUAAUGAAGGCGGAGGCUGAUAUCAGUAUACAGGAUAUUAAGGGCAAUACAGCACUGAUAUCUGCAUGUGAGGGAGGACAUGUGCGUAUAGUGGAGGAGCUGGUGAAGGCGGGGGCUGAUAUCAAUCUACAGGAUAUUGAGGGGAAUACACCACUGAUAUCUGCAUGUGAGGGAGGACAUGGAAGUAUAGUGGAGGAGCUGGUGAAGGCGGGGGCUGAUAUCAAUCUACAGGAUAUUGAGGGGAAUACACCACUGAUAUCUGCAUGUGAGGGAGGACAUGUAAGUAUAGUGGAAGAGGUGGUGAAGGCGGGGGCUGAUGUCAAUAUACAGGGUAAUUGCAGGAAUACAGCAUUGAUAGCUGCAUGUGAGAAUGGACAUGUGAGUAUAGUGAAGGAGCUGGUGAAGGCGGGGGCUGAUGUCAAUUUACAGGAUACAUGGAAGAAUACACCACUGAGAGCUGCAUGUUGUAGAGGACAUGCGAGUAUAAUGGAGGAGCUGGUGAAGGCGGGGGCUAAGGAUAGACGGGGGAUACACCACUGAUAACUGGAUGUGAGGGAGGACAUGUGAGUAUAGGGGAGGAGCUAGUGAAGGCGGGGGCUGAUGUCAAUCUACAGGAUAGAUGGGGGAAUAUACCACUGAUAGCUGCAUGUUAUAGAGGACAUGUGAGUAUAGCGAAGGAGCUGGUGAAGGCGGGGAGUGAUGUUAAUCUACAGGAUAUUAAAGAGAAUACACCACUGAUAUCUGCAGUAAGAAAAUUCCCGUUAUCAAUGGUGAAAUGUCUAGUGGAACAUGGAGCUGACUGGGUAACUCAGGUUGUUGAUAUCGAUGUGUCAGCAGUAUAUAAAGCAUUAAUACUGAACAAAACAGAUAUAAUGAAAUAUCUCAUACAGGAACAAAAUAAAAUCACUCCAAGUCAAUGUAACGGAAAUGUACACCUAUUUAACUGUCUGGUGGACAUCAGACAUGCUGGAGUUAAAACAGACAGUAGGGAUGAUGUGGUGCUGACAGACAGAUCAGUGUGGUGUAUGGAUAGAUGGGGAGAUAUGUGGGAGACAAUCAGUGAGAGAGACUGUGAUGUACUGAGGCGUCUGUUGUGUGUGGGUCUGGAUGUCAAUCAGUCAAUACAGUUAUAUGAUAUGUUCAAUGAUUACAAGCCUGGUGUGACACCUCUAUUGUAUACACUGAUUGAUGAGAAUGGUAUUAAUGUUAGUCAAAUAAUGGAGAAGGUGGGGAUCCUACUGGGGGCGGGGGCGGACGUCAAUAUCAGGGUGAGGUAUAGAGAGUAUGACUCUGUGUUAGACAGGGAGGGUGUGUCUGUUCUAGAGAGGACGAGGCUACUGGUGUGUAAGUACAGUAAUAGUGAAAAAUAAUUUGACAGAGAGUACAAAGUUUCAGAGUGCAAGAAAGUGAUGCGUGAAAUAAAGAAACAUGUUAGAAGAUACUUUGUAUAGUUCCUGAUAGAAUUGUAGAGAGAUGUUGUUACUGAGUACAAGAGAUAAAGAAACAUGUCAGAAGACACUCUGUAUAAUCCCUGAUAGAAUUGUAGAGAGAUGUUGUUACUGAGUACAAGAGAUAAAGAAACAUGUCAGACGACACUCUGUAUAGUCCCUGAUAGAAUUAUAGAGAGGUGUUGUUCUGAGUACAAGAGAGUGAUGUGUGAGAUAAAGAAACAUGUCAGAAGACACUCUGUAUAAUCCCACAUAGAAUUGUAGAGAGAUGUUGUUACUAAGUACAAGAGAUAAAGAAACAUGUCGGAAGACACCCUGUUUUGUCCCUGAUAGAAAUUAAGAGAAAUGUGUUACAGUACCUGCAACGUUAUUCUUGACAUUCCUAUCGUGCUCUAUCGUGCGUGUAUCCUAUCGUAUCGUGCGUGUAUCCUAUCGUAUCGUGCGUGUAUCCUAUCCUAUCGUGUAUCAGAUUUUCCGUUUUCUAUCGUGUUUUGCGUUUAUCAGGUCUAUCGUGUAUCGUGUUUUGCGUGUAUCAGGUUUUCCGUUUAUCGUGAAAAUCGUUUAUCGUGUAGCUUCGGAAACUAUCGGGAUCGUAUAUAAAAUAUAAUGAAAAAGUACGAUACUUUCCGAAACCUUUAUUCGUUUUGCUAAAGAAGCUAUUUUUAGGAAUCGAGGAAAGACGGUAUAUUUGAAGGAGAACAUAAAGUUGUCGAUUUUAAGGCAGAAGAAGAGCUAUUUGUCUGUCCAGAGAGAGAGUGAAAAUUUAUCACAAUUUAAUUCUAAGUAGUCUGGAAAGUAGGACAGUAAACCGAGCACAGUAAAUCUGAAAGCUCCUUCUGAAGUUCAUAAACAUUUGUUUGUCUAGAAACAGUUAUUUGUAAUUAACACUAACAGAAGAAUAGGGAGUUCCGAUUUGAAAGGAAAAAUCAGUAAAUUACAUUGUUUAUCACAUACAUGUAUAUUUUAAUAAUGGCUCUUUUUCUUCCGAUUUUUUUUCACGUGUAUGCUACUUAUAUAGCAACUGCUGAACUUGUGCGCGUCCUUAUAUCUGAUUUUGUGUAUCACCCGUGUUUUGACAGCUAACAUUCUCAGGGACAUUGUAUUUCACACAUUUAGAAGAUUAAGUUUUAAAAGGGUGCAAGGGUGUUGCAUCCCCCAAAAUUCUGCUCAACUGGGCACGAUUCCGCUGUCAUCGUUGUUUUUUGUUUAUACCUUGUACAUGUACACAUGUACCAAUACUCGUACGUGUAGAUACUGGAAAUUUAUGUUGGUUUUGAUGAUGAUUUGAAUUUUUUUGUACACACUAAGCGUUUCAAAAUUGCGAAUUUAAAACAAGCCGGGUUUUGUUUAUGUUUUUUAAACAGUAUAUUUAUGUUUUGUUAACAAAAUAUCAAUUCAAAUAAAUAUGUUCCAAUUACUUAUGACUAUCAAUUAUCAAUCAUAGUGUAAAAAUAUCUAACAGGUGUAGUACGGUUGAUUUUUUUUAAAGCGGUCGUUAUGAAAAUAACUUGAGAUGUUGAAUGAGCCGUGAACUUAGAGCUUGAUGCAAAAUAACCCCCUCCUCGCUACACGCACAAUAUUACUUGGUUUUAUUUCAUAUUCAAGGUAAUAUACAUUAGCAUAAGAGAACUACUGAAGCAUGAUAUCACUACAUUAUACUACAUUUAGUUAAUUCCCUGUAUAAUCUAUAUAUUAAACAUUAGGUGACAAUAUAAGUUUUAGAAUCAUUGGCUGAUAAAGUUCAUAUAGAUAUCAAAUAAUGAAUUCAAUGCCGUAUAUAUUUUAUUUUUAUUUUUUUUAGAUUUUAGCUGUGAUGGCAUUAAAAAAAAAACAAAAAAAACGUACGACCGUGGAUUAAAGAAAUUAUAUGGUACAAAACCGAUCAAUGUUUUAAACAAAUGUUACCGCGACGGGGACAGGUAGCUGAUAGUCAUCCCGCGAUGAGAACGCGGUUUUCCUGAGUUACCUAUAGAUUACCGCGUUAGAUUUUUUCCCAUCGCGAGAACACGGGAAACAAGAAAUCCGCUUUGUCCGUAAUGUAGGUAUAUAAUGAACAUUGAAAUCCUUCAAUAUUAUUAUCAACAUAAUGUAAACAUAAUGUAAUUAUGUUGUAGGUAACAAAAUUUCGUUCCGUCUAAACCGUUUCUAAAUUUACAACAUUUCUAUCAGGUUUUCCGUUUAUCGUGAAGAUCGUUUAUCGUGUUUUGUGUUUAUCAGGUCUAUCGUGAAGAUCGUUUAUCAGGUUUUGCGUUUAUCAGGUUUAUCGUGUAUCCUAUCGUAUCGUGCGUGUAUCCUAUCGUAUCGUGCGUGUAUCCUAUCCUAUCGUGCGUGUAUCGUGUUCUAUCGUUUAUCAUGUCAAGAAUAACGUUGCGGGUACUGUACUUUGUCAGUAGAUGUGGUGAGUAUAAAACCCAGUAGGUUACCAGUAUCUUUGUACAUAAUAAAAUUUACUAGAGUGUACGCCCGCUCAUCUCUCUCGUUGUUUCCAUUUGUUUGUGUACAGUAAUAUAGUGUUUCACAUGUAUCUAUUCUGUAAAUAUUGGAACCUUUCUGAAAAUACCGGUAUGCUGAAUAAAAUCUGUGAUUAAUAUUAAAUGUUCACAGCGACAGUU